AAAAGAAAGAAGAAGUUGCAAUCACACAGUCAGUAUGAGACACAUCUCCACUGACCUUUUAGGGGUUGAAACCAGUAUUUUUAUUCCUAGUUUUCGUCUUUCUAAGUCAUUAGAAUGUAUUACUGUUUAACCAAAUAGGUAUUACGCAUUUACUCUCGGUUACGAACCACAACUCAUGAACUCCAACGAUCACUAGUAUUGGGUUCAACCUAGGAAGCAUCUCUCUCUUUCACAAAAUAAAGGGCACAAGUAUUUUCUUCUACCCUUUUAUUUAUUUUUUAAUAAAUAGAUUUUGGCCUAGAUUUGAAAUAGUGACUUCCACUUUAUGAGAUUUCACUCACAAGUCACAACCAAACAUGUUGCUUUUAAUUUAGACUUUAACUCAAAUUGCUUUAAGAUCCCCAAAUCAGUUCUAAAGUAAAGCUCAAGGUUGGAGAGGCAAUGAAAUUGAGGUAAAAUCAGCAACUGUUUGCCUGCCAAGCUUCGCGUGGACGCCAAUUCCUCUAAUCUCUUCAAUUUGCUUUACAUAAAUUUCUGCUUGUUGCAGGCCUUUCAGGGCUGGAAUUAAUCCAAGGUGCAAUUAUUGGAGCAUACCUAUACGAGCAUGCAAAGGAGAAAGUGACACCAUAUGGCAUAUGGUUACAAAGAUGAAGGUCAUGUGAUUCCCCAGUUAAAGGUGUUGAGGGAAAGAUCAAAGGGAACAUACUUGCUAGAGAUGAAAACUCAGUCGCAUUUGAUCGAUAGGACCGCAAAAAAGAUACUGAGGAUUGUGUAUGGCUCCAAUAAUGAACAUAAACCUAGUGGAUUUUAUUCAAAAGGAGCUAAUGAUCGCGUUGCUAGAUCUUAUCUACAUUAAUUCUAUGCCUAGAAUUUGAUUGCAAGAAAACUAACUCU